rnacentral:rRNA from 1 species
UACGUAGGCAGCGAGCGUUGUUCGGAGUUACUGGGCGUAAAGCGUGCGUAGGCGGUGUCUUAAGUUUGUUGUGAAAUCUCCCGGCUUAACCGGGAGGGUGCGGCGAAUACUGAGAUGCUGGAGUGCGGGAUGGGAGAGUGGAAUUCCUGGUGUAGCGGUGAAAUGCGUAGAUAUCAGGAGGAACACCGGUGGUGCAGACGGCUCUCUGGACCGUAACUGACGCUGAGACACGAAAGCGUGGGUAGCAAACAGG